CGACCGUUGGCGGGUCGGGAGAGGGCCGGCGCCCGGGGGCGCUGCGGCGGGAUCUCGGCCGCUCCCGGGCCAGGUGAGGACUUGGAGCCGGUCCUCCAGCCGUGCCGUACGGUGGUGAUAAACGAGAGUCAAACAAUAGGUUUGGGGACAAACAUGAACCACAUGCUGCCUGGGAUGAAGAGAGUGAGCUGGAAGGAGAGUAAUCACCAGCUCAAGAAACCCCGAGGUUCAGAGAAUCUUCCAGAGGAAGAGGCCAAGUUCUGAGUGGGAGAACUUGAGUGAUGGAUGGCGAGGUUGAAUUGGAGGUCAUGUCCCGGACCUGAGAUGGGAGCUGCUCAGCACUGAGCCUCUAUCCUGACCCACCGCCUCCAGGGGUCCCCUAGAUCAGAGCCUCUAGGAAAAGUACCACUCUGGAGGGCUUGUUCCCUCCCCUACCACCUCAGAUUUCAACAUUGUUCAUCCUCUAGAAGAGACCAGCCCUGCCCCUGGAGCCUCUCCGAAUUAUAGAUGACACUGGGUUUACCACAUCUUUAGGACCCAGGAGCCAAGAGAAGGAGCUUGGCAUCCCGGUUCUCUGUCCUUUGCCCAGGAGUCACCAAAAGAAAAAUGUAUGGUCUCACAGCAGGCGCAGCAUCUUAUUUCUUUUAAAAAAUAAAUAUUUAUAAACUUAGGGAGGAAGAUUCAAAGAAUCAAGAGUAUUUUUCCCUCCAAAAGCACAAAUGUCUCAUGUGAGUCAAACCAAGGUAAGUCCACCACCCAUGAACAAAACACCACCCCCCAAGAACUCUGCCUUGAAGGGCAGAGGAGCUGAUUUUUGUCUUGAGCCCCUUAGUCCCCCUUGGUGAUCAGGUCCUCGAUGUAGGCAUCCAGCUCAUCAUCUGUGUUGAUGUCUAUGUCCUGGAAUAGAAGGAAGCAGUCAGGUGGGGGCCAGAAGGCCGAAGGGGGGGCCCACCUCCCCAUCCUUCUUGCAGGCAAUGGAGCCUGAGCCCAGAGUCCCCUCCUCUCCCCCCUCCACCCUGGCUGUCAAGGCCUGUCCCACCUUGAUCCUUCUCCCCCUUCCCAUCCUCAAUACACAGAUGACGCCCAGAUUUCUUGCUCCUGCCCUGCUCCUGCCCUGUGUGCCCCAGGAUCCUGGGUGCCUUAGAUGUGUUGCAGGCUUCUCAGACUCAGUACACUCAAAACAGCUCAACUGCACCACCCCACCCCAGGCUGUGCCCAUCUCAAUAUAGGUCACCACCUUCCCUCACCCAGGGACUCAAGACAAAUCAGAAGAAUCACCCCUGUUUCCUUCCUUCCCCCCCAAAUAUUACAAAUCUGCCUUUCACAUGGUCACCAAGAUUCAAGCCAUCAAAAUCGCUCAUUCAGAUAAGUAUGGGAACCUCCUCACCCAAGUCCUGGAUUCUAACUUCCACCCCACUCCAGGACUUCCUAUAACCAACUAAAUGUCUUAAUCUGCAAACAGGAUUGGGCCAUACCCCUCCAGGGACAGCUCACCUCAUACAGGCCCUGCCUCUUCUAUUGCCUGCAACUCCCUGCCUUGAGCCUUAGGUCCUACCCUUUCCUCUGCCCAAAGCACUCACAUCUUGUAUGUGACUGAUUCUACUCUCAGCUCAAAUAUCCCCUUCUCAGAGAGGCCACCGCUGAACACCCUCUGUGUCUUCCUUCUCUUACAUGAAGUGUUUUCUUCAUAGAACUUCCUGCCAUCAAUAAUUUUGUGUCCUUCACCAGUCUGUUGGGCCAUGAGUGUAGUAGGGACCAUAUCUUGCCUAUCUGGUUCACCCAAUAUCCCACAGGAAACAAAGCAAGUCCCAAGUUUUGACUGCCUGGAUGAAGGACUGAGACCCUAAAGGGGUACUCCUUACAAUCCCAAUCUGGGCGUCAUCUGGAAAAGUGAGAAUUUCUGUUUUAUGGCUCGGAGGAUUCUCAAACCAGGUUGUAAAUCAGAAGAUCUAAACAAGGGCAAAAAUCUGAUACCGUGGGUCUGGCUGGGAUGAGGCCCAGGCAGCCGCACCACCUCCAGCCCUCCUGGUCAGGAUGCUGUGCAGCCAGGGUUGGAACCACAGAUUCCUGUGAGUGGGGAGAAGGGAGCAGGAGGUGCCCAGGCCCCCCUCCCUGAGACACCAGGUGGUCCAGCUGCAAUGAGAGGGCUGCCUGGCUCACCUCCUGCACCUUUUGCAGGAGCGCCACGAUGUUGGUCCUCAGCUUCUGCAGCUUCUCCUCUGUCUCUCGGAGCUUUCUCUCAGAAGUGCGCAGGCUCUCCUCGGAGGCCUUGGCCCGUGAGUCAGCACGGCUCUGGUAGGAAUGGCACAGAUUCUGGAGUCCCACUUCAUACUGCUUGAAGUACUCUUUCUGUAGAGAGGGAACCCAGAGGUAUUUGUAGGACUCCUGAGGACUUUAUGAAACUCCCAUCCAGGAUGAUGGCAAAAAGGAUGACCUUUCACAGACUGACAAGAACAUAAUGAACAUUAGAAAUCUCUGUUGUGUCCCUGACGUUAAAAAAAUUAGUUUAGACCUUACAGUCCGCGGACUAUAAAGUUGAUGCAUUGGUGGUAUACUUCCUUUUACAAGCAUAAGGUAGCUAAUAGACUCUUUUAUUAGCUCAGAUGCUAAUAAAAGCUCAGAUGCUCCUGGCUGACCGUGUUUUUGGUCUGAACAGAGAAGAUCCCAGUGGACCCAGGCUUUGCUCUGAGUCUGGCAACAACUUUAAACCACAAGCAACAAAUUUGACAAGAGGAUGCCAGGCCACCUACCUAAGCAUCCUAAUUAGUGGAUUGUUCAUGGGAUUUGCAGAGGGCAGCUGCAGCCUCAACAAGGGCCAGAGCUGAGACACAGAGCUUUCUGAGGAAGCUUUCUGAUGAGCUCUGCCAUCCUCUAGCUUCCUCGGCCUGCACCUGCCCUCUCCUCUCAUGGGAAGCAAGGCAGUACUGGAAGAAGGGCAAGCCCCGUGUCCUAAAGUAGUAGUACCUGGAUUCAAAUCUGGGUUCUAUCACAACAGAUUCUUCACCUGAGCCUCAGUUUCUUCAACUCCUAAUACUCCCUUUUUUUCUUUUUAGUAAAAUGAAGAUUAAAAGCCCUAUCUCUUCCUCUUUGGAAACCAUCAAACACACAGCUGCCACACAAGGGCCCAAUAUCUACAGUUUCAAUUCUAGUUCUGUUCUCUAGAAACUCUUCCCUAGAAAACUUAAGCUAUUCCAAACAUAAACAUAUCUGUCCCACUUGAGGAAGACAACUCCCAGAUUCCAUCUGCAGCCCUAACCGUCCCACCCCUCCAAGUGCCCCAUCCCUGAUCUCGACCUGCGCACUAAACAUCACCAGAAAUGCAGAUGGCCAGUGUUCCCAGCCCAACACAAAUCACAACUUAUCACCGCUCUUACCCCCACUGUUUUCUCCCAGUUAAUAGCUUUGUCAUCACUUCCCACAGGCCUGAGACACAAAGAAGUACAUGGCCUCUGCCUCCUCCCCCAUCAUUUGCCUCCAGUCAACCACCUCUGACAUGGCCCUUUCACCCACCAGUCCACUCCCACCACUCUAACUCAAGUUCCCAUUCCCUCAUCUCUGACCUUUCACAACUCAACUGGCCCUCUUGCCUCGGCAUCUUCCAUCCACCCAUCUCACCCAAACCUACUGCCAUGAGAGCUAUCCUCUUAGGGCAGGGUCAGCAGACUAGAGCCCCAGGCCAAAUCAGCCUGCCACCUCUUUUUGUAAAUAGAGCUUUACUACAGAACAGCCACAUCCAUUCCUUUACAAAUGGUCUACUGCAGUGUCAUAGUGUUUAGCUGCCACAGAGCUGAAAAUAUUUGCUAACUGGCCCUCUAGAGAAAAAGUUUGUUUUUCUGCCCUAGACCAGGUUCAGAAUGACAAUUCCCCUGGCUCAAAACUUUUGCUGGCCCUCCAUUUUAUACAAGGUUUAAACACCAAGCCCCUAAGAUCAGACAUUCAAAAAGUACCAUAUCUUGACUCUCAGGGCCCUCUUCUUCCCUAAAUGCUCACCACAUAGUCUGCUGCCUUGACCUGGGAACUUCCAUCCCUCUGAACCCCUGCUCACAAAGUCGCCCUGCCUCAAAUCUUCCCUGUCACUUACACAGGCACUUGCAGAGACCCACAUCUUCAGACUGCUGCUCCCUCCCCAAGGCUGCCACAGCCCAACUGCUUCCAUGGCACUUACUGCUCUCAGUCUCAUGUCCAGCUACCUAGUAAAAAUUCAGUCUCUACUGAAUCAUAAGGCACUUGGGAGGCAGGAUUCUCUACUGCUGCUCAUGAAGAGAUCCAGCACAGGGCCUGUGCCACUUUAGCAUAACACCCAGUGCUUACAAAAAAACACUACCCACAUCUCUACCUCACUGUAAGAGUCAAGUUUUAGGCACUUUAAGUCUAAGUUCUUCACUGUUGCCUGGGACAAGUUUACUCCCUCUGCUGAGGCGGAGGAAAACAGAUACACUCUAGGAAAUGUCAAACCAGGCCUGAUGUCCCUAAGUGAGGACUCAGCCCCAGCAUCUUAUGAAUGGUGUGGUUGGCUUCUGCAUACCACAAUCAUAGCCAGCUUUGGCACUUUUUUCUACACGUUUUCUAUUUCUCUCAGCAAAAGAGAGGCUGUGAGGGGGCAUA